rnacentral:lncRNA from 1 species
CCCGUUGUAGAGAAGAGAUACAUUCCUCUAGACUAUAAACUCAAUGUGGGCAGGGAACAGGUCUACCACCUCUGUUAUAUGGUAUUUUCCCAAGCGCUUAGGACAGUGCUGUGCACAGAGUGAACACCCAAUAAAUGCCAUUAACUGAUUGAUUCAUUGAUCUCUGCCCCACAUAGGAAGAGAAGAAUAAUCACCAAAGAGAGCCAGAAGACCUUGUAACUGCAGAAGAAAUAAAAAUUCCUUUAAAAAGUUGUCCGGAACUAUCAGCUCGGUAGGAGUUAUUGGAGAGUUAGCCCCUUGUCAAUCCGAAGCAGACAAUCUUCAACUUCUGCAAGAAUCUUGGAGCCGAGAGGGGGAAGCGGGAAGUGCUUCCUUCCCUUCCCCGAGAGAUCCCCGACCAAGCUGUCGUCCAGUGUCCCAGGCAAACUGAAACCGAAAAAAGAAAACCUGAAGCCCGUCUCAAACUACACCCAGAAAAAGGCCACCGUCUUCCCGAAGAGAGAAAAAAGAACACCACAAAACCCAAACCUCGGGUCACCCUGAGAACCCUGGCAAGGAUUCUUUCGAUCAACCGGUGACACCAGCCUCCGUGGACCCUUGGCUGAGCUCGGCUCCCGACCCUUCUUCCUCUUCCUUGGACCGCCGCUGGAAGCCCCGGUGACUUGGCAGGAGCUUUUUUGUUGCUUUUUUUUUUCCCCCAAAGGAGAUGGUGCGUCCCCACGUUGUGACUUUCAAACGAUGGCCCCUUGGAAAUUAAAAGUUGAAGAGAGUUGGGAAUACAGGGUUAUCCUCUCUCCUGCAGGAGAACGGUCCAACACGUCGUGGUCGACUGACUCGGUUUCCCCUUAAUACACUGGAUAAAAGAUGACACCCCCAAACGCUCUAAAGUUCUAGAAGUGAACGCGUUGCCUCUUCGGACCUUUCAGAGACCAACGCAGAACGCCUUUCCCAAUCCCUUCACCCGCCUCCCUCUCCCCGCCUCCCCCUCCCCCAAUCUGUUACAAAAUUGCCAGGAGUCAACUGAGAUGCCGGUUAUAAAAUUUAUUGAUCUCUCUCGUUUGGGGAGUUUUCAAGGGUAAAAUCUUUAAAAACCUGACACACACACACAAAAAAAAUAACCUCCCCCCUCCCCCAGACUCUAGAAUAUUUGCUGCUUGCUUCUUGCGCCGAUAAGUCCAACAGUUUACGGUAGGAUUCACCAACUCCACAUCGUCAUCCGAGUUGUUUUUUUUUUUCCCUUUACAGAAAGUUCGCAAACCAGUAAGGGGCGGUGGGAAGAAAAAAAAAAAAAAUAACACGCACACACACAACUCGCUAUAAAUUAAAAAAAAAAAAAGCAACUUGCGUUUGCGACCCGCACAGCUCUUGGGGUAAUUCGUUCUAAAAAGUUUAAAGGGGAAAAAAAAAACAACCCAACCAGCUACACAGUUUGGGAU